rnacentral:rRNA from 1 species
AACGGCUGGCGGCGUGCCUAACACAUGCAAGUCGAGCGAUGAAGCCCUCGGGUGGAUUAGCGGCGGACGGGUGAGUAACACGUGGGUAACCUGCCUCAAAGAGGGGGAUAGCCUCCCGAAAGGGAGAUUAAUACCGCAUAACAUUAUUUCUUCGCAUGAAGAGAUAAUCAAAGGAGUAAUCCGCUUUGAGAUGGACCCGCGGCGCAUUAGCUAGUUGGUGAGGUAAUGGCUCACCAAGGCGACGAUGCGUAGCCGACCUGAGAGGGUGAUCGGCCACAUUGGAACUGAGAUACGGUCCAGACUCCUACGGGAGGCAGCAGUGGGGAAUAUUGCGCAAUGGGGGAAACCCUGAACCGCAGCAACGCCGCGUGGGUGAAGAAGGCCUUCGGGUUGUAAAGCUCUGUCUUCUGGGACGAUAAUGACGGUACCAGAGGAGGAAGCCACGGCUAACUACGUGCCAGCCGCCGC